rnacentral:rRNA from 1 species
GUAAGUUGUAAAGGGCGCAAGGUGGAUGCCUGGGUGCCAAGGACUGAAGAAGGACGUGGCCAGCUGCGAAAAGCUACGGGGAGUUGCAAGCAAGCAUAGAUCCGUAGAUAUCCGAAUGGGAGAACCUGUUAUGAGAUAAAACUCAUAACACCACUAGUUGAAUAGAUAGACUAGUUGGAGGGAACCUGGGGAACUGAACCAUCUAAGUACCUGGAGGAAAAGAAAGUAAUAACGAUUCCCUGAGUAGCGGCGAGCGAACGGGGAAUAGCCUAAACCACACAUGGUGUUAAAGCCUGGAAGCGUUGCCUGUGUGGGGUCGUGGGAUCUGUCGUUGUGUUGUUUCAGCAUCAUGAAUAUUGAUCUUGGCUGAUAUAGCCGAAGCUGACUGGAAAGUCACACCAUAGGAGGUGAUAGUCCUGUAGGUGAAAUAUCAGGAGCGAUAUAGACAGACACCCGAGUACUACGGGAUCCGGGAAAGCCCGUGGGAAUUAGCGUGGACCGUCACGUAAGGCUAAAUAUUUACUUGGCGACCGAUAGUGAAGCAGUACCGUGAGGGAAAGGUGAAAAGUAUGCCGGCGAGGCAAGUGAAAUAGAACCUGAAACCUUGUGCCUACAAUCAGUCGGAGGACUAUGCGUUUCUUCGGAGACGAAUGUCUGACGGCGUGCCUAUAGAAGAAUGAUCCGACGAGUUACUGGAUGUAGCGAGGUUAAGCCGGUGAAUGGCGGAGCCAUAGCGAAAGCGAGUCUGAAUAGGGCGUUAGUUGCAUUUAGUAGACCCGAAACCAAGCGAGCUACCCUUGGCCAGGAUGAAGCUUUGGUAACACAAAGUGGAGGUCCGAACGUCUCAACGUUGAAAAGUUGAACGAUGAGCUGUGGGUAGGGGUGAAAAGCCAAUCGAGCUUGGAGAUAGCUGGUUCUCCCCGAAAUAGUUUUAGGACUAGCCUCGGAUAUGAGACUGAUGGGGGUAAAGCACUGGAUGGGCUAGGGGGCAUACCAGCUUACCAACCCCAACCAAACUCUGAAUACCAUCAGUUGCUUUCCGGGAGUCAGGCAUAGUGAGAUAAGUUUCUAUGUCUCGAGGGAAACAGCCCAGACCGUCGUUUAAGGUCCUUAAGUAUAUGCUAAGUGGGAAAGGAUGUGUAGGUCCUCAGACAGCCAGGAGGUUGGCUUAGAAGCAGCCAUUCCUUUAAAGAGUGCGUAAUAGCUCACUGGUCGAGGGCUUAUGCGCCGAAAAUGUAACGGGGCUUAAGCAUAUCACCGAAAGCACGGGUUUAUAUUUGUUUUAUUUCAGAUAUAAGCGGUAGGGGAGCGUUCUGCGGUAGGUAGAAGGUAUACCGUGAGGAGUGCUGGACGAAGCAGAAGUGAGAAUGUCGGAACGAGUAGCGAUAAGACGAGUGAGAAACUCGUUCGCCGAAAACCUAAGGUUUCCUGGGGAAGGUUAAUCCUCCCAGGGUUAGUCGGUCCUAAGCUGAGGCCAAGCGGCGUAGGUGAAGGGAAGCAGGUUAAUAUUCCGCACCAUGAUCUUAUUAUUUUAUCGAUGGAGUGACGCAGGAGGUUAUACCCGCACGGUUUGAUAGGCCGUGUCGAACGAUGUAGGCAUUGUAUAUUGGCAAAUCCGUAUAUGAUUUAAAGCCGAGGUCGGACAGGCUACCGAAAUUAGUAGGUGGAAGGAGUAGAUACCAUGCUGCCGAGAAAAACUUCUAAGAGAGAUGAGAUUGUGACCGUACCGCAAACCGACACAGGUAGGUGAGGAGAAAAUCCUAAGGCGCUCGAAAGAACCCACGUUAAGGAACUCGGCAAAUUAACUCCGUAACUUCGGGAGAAGGAGUGCUCCGUGUAGGGUGAGUGGAAUACAUUGGUAACAUUGUAUCGAAGCGUAGCUUGAAGGAGUCGCAGAGAAUAGGCUCAGGCGACUGUUUAUCAAAAACAUAGGACUCUGCUAAAGCGAAUAGCCGACGUAUAGGGUCUGACGCCUGCCCAAUGCUGGAAGGUUACGGGGAGGGGUUAGGGUAUUUAUAUCCGAAGCUCUGAACUUAAGCCCCAGUGAAUGGCGGCCGUAACUAUAACGGUCCUAAGGUAGCGAAAUCCCUUGUCAGGUAAGUUCUGACCCGCAUGAAUGGCGUAACGAUCUGAGCGCUGUCUCAACGUGGGGUUCGGCGAAACUGUGCACCGGGUGAAGACGCCCGGUAUCCGCGUCAGGACAAAAAGACCCCGUGGAGCUUUACUGUAGCUUGAUAUUGGAUUUUGGCCUGUUAUGUAGAGUAUAGGUGGGAGAUUAUGAAGCUAGGGCGCUAGCCUUGGUGGAGUCGCCAAUGGAAUACCACCCUUAUCAGUCUGGAAUU